CGGUGUGUAAUCUAUCGUCAGUCCAUGAAAAAUCACAGAAAUAGUUGGUGUGUGUGCAGAAAUAUCAUCAGUGCAAGUUUCAAAAUUAUGUAAGUUUAGAUAUAUCACCUAAAUAAGUAAUGAUUUGCAGCGAGUUUCUUCAAAAUUCUGUAAAGUUUAGAUAUAUCACCUAAAGUAUCGUCAGUGCAAGUUUGAAAAUUCUGUAAGUUUAGAUAUAUCGUAAAGAAAAAUUGAUGAGUCACCAUCUGCUUUAUAUUCAUGUUCUCUGCAGCACAGGUAGCAGUGGGACUGACUGGGAGUGAUCCCUGAACCAUUUGAUUAAACGCCAUGGUUUCCAACUAUGGUAAUACUACUAGAAAGUGUUAGAGGCCAUGAAGCCUCUUGGCUUCUCCAAUAAGCAGGUUUGGCUAGUCCUGAAGCGCCUCCUCAAGUUUCUGAGUACGCGAUGCGUCGAUGGACGCAUCCUAGGCGGCCAAGCACGACGUGUUUUCUCCUGCACCCAGAAGCUUUGGAGGCGAUGUGUUGCCCUUAGUACUUUCUUAACAAAUCCAGCAGUGCUGGUUCACAUAGAACUUGAAAUUACCUAUCUGCCAUGGGGAUGUACUGCCCUCAGUACUCUCUCAACAAAUCUAGCAGUGCAGGUUCUCUCGUGCACUAAGUAUUUCUGGCGGCGAUGCCUGCUUAUAUAUUUCUGCUUUCAUGUAUUAAACCUUACAGUCUGGUACUAUUUCAUGAUAAUAUGUGAAUUGAAAGAAAAGUUCAACUAUUUGUUAUUUUAGUUGAGUUUAAUUUCUUAUUCUCGUUUAGUUCAAAUUCGUAUUCUACUUUAGUUCAAUUUCUAAAAUUUUGUUUAGUGUUAUACAUACCCUAGACUAGAACUCUUGGAUGAUCACAUUAGAUGAGUUAAUUAAUUAACUAUGUUUUCCAACCUCAGGUGCAACCUUGCCAGCAUCAUGUUGGCGGUUCCUAUGUUUCUCUUGUUGCUGCUCCAAGCCGCAACACCUCAUGCCGUCAUCAUCUCUGCAGAGCCACCGCUCCAACCUGUCCCCUGUCGCAGCCCCACCACUCGUUGCCGAUGCACUCCAACCCGAGGACCUCCAAGAUGGAGGUCGCCUCGCAGCCUAGCGAUGAGUUCGAGGACGGACACCCCAGGUUCUCAAGCAGCAAAGUUAUCACACAAAGUUGAACUUGCUGCUGCACCAUCUUCACCAAGUCAAACUUGCAGCAGCCAGGGGAUCCACAAUCGUUGGGAGCUGUCCAAGUCAAGCUAUGACCGCAGUCCAAGUGUUACUGCGACCACCAUCUUCACCCAGCGCUGCACCCAUUGAGCACCCACACAUUUGUACUCUCUGAACUGUGGCUGGGGUUCUUCGCACGCUAGCGCCGCUGCCGGCCCCGUACAGCUAAGUCCUUGGCCCACUGCACGCCCUGCUGCCCUCGACCUCCCUCUCACAG